CAGACAGGCAGACAGGCAGACAGACAGACAGACAGGCAGACAGACAGGUAUGACAGGAGGAACGCGGCGCGGGAACGAUCACAGGUAGCCCUGUCCUGAUUGGUUGCCAUGGUGCCCAGGCCGUCGUCAGGGGAGCUGUGGGGGCUCCACCUGAUGCCCCCCCGCAUCCAGGUGGACUGCUGCCUGCCCAACGGGAUGAUGGUGAGUCUGGAGUGCCUCAGAGAGACUCCUCUGCUCAGCAUCAAACAGCAGCUGUUCACUGAGGCCAGGA